ensembl:rRNA 5S_rRNA 5S ribosomal RNA
GACAAUAGCCAUAUCACCCUGCAGCCCAAGACCAGUUACUCACUGAAGCUAAGCCAAGCUGAGUCUGUUCAGUACCUGGAUAGGAGACCACAUGGAAAAACUAGUCUACUAUUGAAA